AUCUCACAAUGGAGACAUCCGAUAAAAUUGAAACAAUAAAGAGAAGAUUAACAUGGCCCCUGCGCAAGGAUGACAUGCACAAAUCAAGAAAUGGUAUCAAAGUUA